GCAUAUCAAUAAGCGGAGGAAAAGAAACUAACAAGGAUUCCCCUAGUAACUGCGAGUGAAGCGGGAAAAGCUCAAAUUUAAAAUCUGGUGGCCUUUGGUCAUCCGAGUUGUAAUCUAGAGAAGUGUUACCCGCGUCGGACCGUGUACAAGUCUCCUGGAAUGGAGCGUCAUAGAGGGUGAGAAUCCCGUCUUUGACACGGACUACCGAGGCUUUGUGGUGCGCUCUCAAAGAGUCGAGUUGUUUGGGAAUGCAGCUCAAAAUGGGUGGUAAAUUCCAUCUAAAGCUAAAUAUUGGCGAGAGACCGAUAGCGAACAAGUACCGUGAGGGAAAGAUGAAAAGAACUUUGGAAAGAGAGUUAAACAGUACGUGAAAUUGCUGAAAGGGAAACGCUUGAAGUCAGUCGCGUUGGCCGGAAAUCAGCCUUCCUUUUGGUUGGUGUACUUUCUGGUUGACGGGCCAGCAUCAGUUUUGACCGAUGGAUAAAGUUGUAGGGAAUGUGGCAUCUUCGGGUGUGUUAUAGCCUUGCUUCGUAUACAUCGGUUGGGACUGAGGAACUCAGCACGCCGAAAGGCCGGGGUUCGCCCACGAUCGUGCUUAGGAUGCUGGCAUAAUGGCUUUAAUCGACCCGUCUUGAAACACGGACCAAGGAGUCUAACAUGCCUGCGAGUGUUUGGGUGGAAAACCCGAGCGCGUAAUGAAAGUGAAAGUCGAGAUCCUUGUCAUGGGGAGCAUCGACGCCCGGACCAGACGUUUUCUGACGGUUCUGCGGUAGAGCAUGUAUGUUGGGACCCGAAAGAUGGUGAACUAUGCCUGAAUAGGGUGAAGCCAGAGGAAACUCUGGUGGAGGCUCGUAGCGAUUUCUGACGUGCAAAUCGAUCGUCAAAUUUGGGUAUAGGGGCGAAAGACUAAUCGAACCAUCUAGUAGCUGGGUUCCUGCCGAAG
rnacentral:rRNA from 1 species